GACGAACCGUGCGAACGUUGUUCGGAAUCACUGGGCUUAAAGGGCGCGUAGGCGGCCGGGUUGGUCGUGGGUGAAAUCCCCCAGCUUAACUGGGGAACUGCCUACGAUACUGCCUGGCUCGAGGGAGGAAGGGGCGGUCGGAACUGUCGGUGGAGCGGUGAAAUGCGUUGAUAUCGACAGGAACGCCGGUGGCGAAGGCGGGUCUCUGGGCCGAUACUGACGCUGAGGAGCGAAAGCGUGGGGAGCAAACAGG
rnacentral:rRNA from 1 species